rnacentral:rRNA from 1 species
GAUGAACGCUAGCUACAGGCUUAACACAUGCAAGUCGAGGGGAAACGAUAUUGGAAGCUUGCUUCCGAUAGGCGUCGACCGGCGCACGGGUGAGUAACGCGUAUCCAACCUGCCCACCACUUGGGGAUAACCUUGCGAAAGUAAGACUAAUACCCAAUGACGUCCAUAGAAGACAUCUGAAAUGGAUUAAAGAUUUAUCGGUGAUGGAUGGGGAUGCGUCUGACUAGCUUGUUGGCGGGGUAACGGCCCACCAAGGCGACGAUCAGUAGGGGUUCUGAGAGGAAGGUCCCCCACAUUGGAACUGAGACACGGUCCAAACUCCUACGGGAGGCAGCAGUGAGGAAUAUUGGUAAAUGGGCGAGAGCCUGAACCAGCCAAGUAGCGUGCAGGAUGACGGCCCUAUGGGUUGUAAACUGCUUUUAUAAGGGAAUAAAGUGAGUCUCGUGAGGCUUUUUGCAUGUACCUUAUGAAUAAGGACCGGCUAAUUCCGUGCCAGCAGCCGCCGUAA